CGUAAGGUUUAGGUUAGUAACCUUCCGGCGGUCCUACGAAACGAAAACCGAAACCGUCGUCGGGGCCGGUCGGUUCGUUAACGUUAACGACUAGUCGAACGUAGUUAGACGGCGACGAAGGAGGAGAGCUCCCUACCGUAGACGAGCGGACUGGUGAGUAACGCGUGGGUAAUCUAUCUUAGGCAUGGGGAUAGUCACUAGAAAUAGUGGGUAAUACCGAAUAAGUUCCAUAAGGGGAGGACUUAUGGAAGAAAGGUGCUACGGCACUGGCCUUAGGUGAGCUCGCGUCCCAUUAGCUAGUUGGUGAGGUAAAGGCCCACCAAGGCGAUGAUGGGUAGCCGGCCUGAGAGGGUGUACGGCCACACUGGGACUGAGAUACGGCCCAGACUCCUACGGGAGGCAGCAGCUAAGAAUAUUCCGCAAUGGACGGAAGUCUGACGGAGCGACGCCGCGUGGAUGAAGAAGGCCGAAAGGUUGUAAAGUUCUUUUGCUAGGGGAGAAUAAGUGUGGGAGGGAAUGCCUGCACGAUGACAAGGACUAGCGAAUAAGUCCCGGCCAAACUACGUGCC
rnacentral:rRNA from 1 species